rnacentral:misc_RNA from 1 species
UUUCCGUAGGUGAACCUGCGGAAGGAUCAUUAUUGUAUAACCGAGGUGCGAGGGCUGUCGCUGACCCGAAAGGUCGUGCACGCCCGAGUGCCCUCACACACAUCCAUCUCACCCCUAAGUGCACCACCGCGUGGGUCCCCCUUUGGCUUGUUCGGAGGGGGGCUUACGUUUUCACACAAACUUUGUAUGCAGUGUAGAAUGUAUUUUUUGUUUUUGCGAUCACGCAAUCAAUACAACUUUCAACAACGGAGCGCGGGGCUCUCGCAUCGAGGAAGAACGCAGC